GCAGUUAAAAGGAGUCUGCAUAGACAGAGGGCACAAAUGUGAGUUGAUUAUGUUGGUAUCAUAUUGUGAAGAUUAAAUUAAUUCCCCUGCCCAUUUUUAGAUUUAAUCACCAAAAGUGUAAACAUUCUACUUAAUCUUUAAGUGGGGGAGGUCUGUGACCCACAUGUGCAAUAAUGGGUGAUAAAUCAGAAUCAAACUGACUGCCCCUUGGGCAGUCCUAAACAAAGCUUCAACUGUAAUUGGUAGACAUAAAAUUGGAGGAGGGCACAGGAAGUGAUGUAAUAGAAAGUGUCUUUAAAAGGGAGUUACAGCUUCCUGUGGGAAUUUCUUCUUUGAAGAGUUCUUCAAGAGUUCUUCAGGCUUGGGACUUCUAACUUUUUCUGGGAGUUCUGGAGUUCUUCAUGCUUGGGACUUCUGACUGCUCUCAUUCUUUGGAGUUCUGAGUUCCAGUUGGAGGCUGGUGAAGAAUCUGUUGACUGGACCUGAGACCCUAUACCUGGUUAUUUCCAGAGUUCUAUGGAACAGAGGUAAGGAGAGACUGACUAUGUGUGGGGCCACCAGUGCAAAAGCAUGGAGAUAAUGAAUGGAGUUCCAAGUAUGAAGAAAGAAGGCCAGGUUGGUUGCAACACAUAUAUGGUCUAAUGUGAAUGGAAAGAUAGUUUGGAGCCAGGUUGUAAAGGCCCUUAAAAACCACACAGAGGAGUUUUAUUUUAUCAUAGGGGUAAUAGAAAACCACUGAAAUUGAUUAGGAGCGUUGAAUAGCCAGAUCUGCACUUAAAGAAAAUUACUUUGGCAGCAGUGUGUAGGACUGACAGACUGUAAUAGGAACAGACUUGAGGCAUGGAGACCAAUUAGGAGGCUGUUGUAAUAAUCUAGAUGAGAGAUAAUGAAGGCCUGAACUAAAGUAUUAGUGUGAAGAUAGGAUUAACUCUUUCCUUGUCUAUUUUUAGCUAGUCAAAUCAAGAACUUGAAGUAUCCCUACUUACCAUUAAGUAUAAGAAUUCACAGAGUCACUUACUAGAGUAAGCUCACACCUCCAAAGGCCACUGCCCCUCUCCCCCUUGGGCAGUGCUAGGCAAAUUGAAAGACUGCCUUUGGUUUUUGUGAAGGAGGAGUGACAGGAAGUCACAGGAAAAAAAGCAUAAAAAGAAGAGACCAGCACGGUCUAGCAUUCAUUCCCUUUCUGGCGUUUAGAGAGAUUGGUUCCAGAGAUUCCUUUCCUGA
rnacentral:lncRNA from 1 species